rnacentral:tRNA from 1 species
GGGAGGGUAGUUUAUUUAGAAUGUUGCUUUUGUAAAGCAGUGGUGUGAUUUAUCUGCUUC